AGAACAUCCACAUAAACCCUGAAAUUGUUCAGUAUUCUCUCAAACAGCCGUUUGAGUCACCUCAAAUGUAGCAGUGGGCCAGAUUGAAACGGUCCGAUGCACUUCACUUGCAAUGUAGAUCAUCAUUUCUGGACAGCUUUCUACUUACUGCUGUGGACAUGAAAGGAUCGUCCUAGGCUUGCCCAUGCUGAUGGGCUGCACCACAGCAGUACUGGAGCUGAAUUCCUGUUAGAAAACAUCUUCAGGAUGCUUUGACCAGGACACCUCCAAUGUGAAGCAGUGGACAGCUGAAGAUGUUGCUGGCUGUUAUUGCUAGA